rnacentral:miRNA from 1 species
GGUGCAGUUCGGGACUGAUUG